rnacentral:rRNA from 1 species
AGAGUUUGAUCCUGGCUCAGGACGAACGCUGGCGGCGUGCUUAACACAUGCAAGUCGAACGGAAAGGCUAGUGCUUGCACUAGUACUCGAGUGGCGAACGGGUGAGUAACACGUGGGUGAUCUGCCCUGCACUCUGGGAUAAGCCUGGGAAACUGGGUCUAAUACUGGAUAGGACCAUGCUCUAGUGUGUCAUGGUGGAAAGUUUUUUCGGUGUGGGAUGAGCUCGCGGCCUAUCAGCUUGUUGGUGGGGUAAUGGCCUACCAAGGCGUCGACGGGUAGCCGGCCUGAGAGGGUGGACGGUCACACUGGGACUGAGACACGGCCCAGACUCCUACGGGAGGCAGCAGUGGGGAAUAUUGCACAAUGGGCGGAAGCCUGAUGCAGCGACGCCGCGUGGGGGAUGACGGCCUUCGGGUUGUAAACUCCUUUCAGCCAUGACGAAGCGUUAUGUGACGGUAGUGGUAGAAGAAGCACCGGCUAACUACGUGCCAGCAGCCGCGGU